CUUUUGUGGAAUUCUCCAGACGACAGGGAAGCACAUAACGUAGAAAACUUGAAAGAAUCACAUAAAUGUGUAAAUUAAAAAUAUACAAGGUAUAAAUAAACAAAUACAGGAAAGUUCAUUUCACAACAAAUUGGGAGAAACCAAUGAAUUCCUGUAAUAAUGCCUUUCCUUAAUAGGAAUGAAAUGGAUCAGCAGUUCAUCUCACCUCCUUUCAAUCACUUUCAAAGUCUUCAUCCCCAAAGGAAAAAACUGAAGCAUCUGCUGCAAUUGCCUUGAUGUCACUUGCCCCUACAGAUUCCACGUUUGUGCUGCUAUUGCCUGUAUGAAUUUUAUUAUGUUCAUCUGCAGUUGAUUGUUCAGAAGUAUUGUUCUGCAUGCCUGCCUCAUGCUUUAGUGACAAUCGAUCAGUUGAGUGUCUCAACAUCCCUACGUGGUCUGUUGUCUCCUCAGAAGCUUGAUGAGGUGCCAUAAAUUUGUACUCAGUUGCAGCUUUCUUGCUUUGUGUAUCUCGGCCCUCCUCUUCAUCACUGUCUGAGAAUACAUCAUCUUCAUUUCUCGGGAGUUUACUCUCAGUUGAAUUAGAUGUAGUAGGCUUUGGACCAGGUAGGGCAUUGAUUGUGUUUUGGUCAGAUCCUUUGCUGGCGGAAUUUGCUUUUGUCCUUGAAGGUAGGGUGCCAUUAUAGUCUAUCAUGACAACUUCCACCCGGAAUCCUGGAGCGGGGAUCUUCCUCUGAAGGGUGCAACGACACUCCAAAAUGUUGUUAGAGCUCUUCGGGGAAUGGCAUGCCAAUUGGCUGCAUUUGAGUGUAAGAAAGCUUUGUCAAUAGGAUCUUCUAAAUAUUUCUGUCGAGGAUAUGCAAGGUACUGUCAAACUAUACCCAAUAUCAACCACCAAAGUUAGACAACAAAGAAACAUGCAGAUUUUUUUCUUUUUCAUUCGUGUUUUGUUUUACAUUAAUCCAUUAUUCCUUAGUCAUAUCUCCAAGUGUGGCUGUUCGUAAUGUGUCAUAACAUAUAGUUUGAGGUAUAGGAGAGGAGGGGGGGUCCAACAAGAGGGACGACUAACAUACCCUCAUGGUUUUGUUGUCUUUUUAAUCAUUUCAUAAAGUUCCUUUAAAAGUA
rnacentral:sRNA from 1 species